rnacentral:rRNA from 1 species
GAUGAACGCUGGCGGCGUGCCUAAUACAUGCAAGUCGAGCGAAUGGAUUGAGAGCUUGCUCUUAUGAAGUUAGCGGCGGACGGGUGAGUAACACGUGGGUAACCUGCCCAUAAGACUGGGAUAACUCCGGGAAACCGGGGCUAAUACCGGAUAACAUUUUGAACCGCAUGGUUCGAAAUUGAAAGGCGGCUUCGGCUGUCACUUAUGGAUGGACCCGCGUCGCAUUAGCUAGUUGGUGAGGUAACGGCUCACCAAGGCAACGAUGCGUAGCCGACCUGAGAGGGUGCACGGCCACACUGGGACUGAGACACGGCCCAGACUCCUACGGGAGGCAGCAGUAGGGAAUCUUCCGCAAUGGACGAAAGUCUGACGGAGCAACGCCGCGUGAGUGAUGAAGGCUUUCGGGUCGUAAAACUCUGUUGUUAGGGAAGAACAAGUGCUAGUUGAAUAAGCUGGCACCUUGACGGUACCUAACCAGAAAGCCACGGCUAACUACGUGCCAGCCGCCGCGGUAA